AGAUGGUACAGUGUCUUGUAUACAUGCUGAGGUAAUAAUAAACUCAAGCUACGCGGGCCUGUGAGGAGGGAAAGCACAUCUGUUAGGUACAGGGGAGUCACCGUGCUGACAGGAGUCUGUGUUGGGAGAGAGCUCAGGGGAUCCGGUGGAAGGUUUACUUUCAUCCGCGGGAGAAGUGACAAAGGAGAGAACCUGUAGAGAUUAAAAUGCAAACCAGAAAUGAUGAGAGGUGUUCCUCUAUGGAUGAAACAUGCAGCGCAGAAAGGGAGCUCAGAACAGGCUUCUGGAUUGCCAGAAAGCUUGCAUUUCACCAAGUGACAACUGGAUUAUUGUGGCAACUUUUGCUUAAAAUAAAAGUACCUGUACUGAAUAUAUCACUCCUUCAACUACACUCCAACACACAGAGCGAGUGUUCCUGGGGGUAGCCUACUCUUUCCUCUUUUAUUCUUCCCAUAAUAUUUGUUUCCUGAUCCAAUUUACAGAACAGGAUCAUCUUACAAGUACAGAAGAUAGCAUUUAUUUUUGCAUUUUAGAUUCUUGUGGGUUUUCCCUUUUUGUUUCAAAUGUAAUAGCAAAAACACAGCAGAAGCCAAGAAUGUGUGGUUUCUGUGAAUGCUUACACUUUUCUGCAAAGUUUCAAAGAAAUAUUUAAUAAAC
rnacentral:lncRNA from 1 species